GCCUGGCUGGCCCAGUUGGUAGUGCAUGCAACUCUUGAUCUCAGGGUUGUGGGUUCGAGUCCCAAGCUGGGUG
rnacentral:tRNA from 1 species